rnacentral:rRNA from 1 species
CCUACGGGAAGCAGCAGUGGGGAAUAUUGCACAAUGGGGGAAACCCUGAUGCAGCGACGCCGCGUGAGUGAAGAAGUAAUUCGUUACGUAAAGCUCUAUCAGCAGGGAAGAAAAUGACGGUACCUGAGUAAGAAGCCCCGGCUAACUCCGUACCAGCAGCCGCGGUACUACGUAGGGGGCAAGCGUUAUCCGGAUUUACUGGGUGGAAAGGGAGCGUAGACGGUGCGCCAAGUCUGGAGUGAAAUGCCGCAGCUUAACUGCGGAACUGCGUUGGAAACUGGCGAACUAGAGUGCGGGAGGGGUAAGCGGAAUUCCUAGUGUAGCGGUGAAAUGCGUAGAGAGUAGGAGGAACACCGGUGGCGAAGGCGGCUUACUGGACCGUAACUGACGUUGAGGCUCGAAAGCGUGGGGAGCAAACAGGAUUAGAUACCCGUGUAGUC